CGCCGCUCACCCAGUCCGUGUAGAAGCCGCCGUAGAGCCGGUGCAGGCAGUUGUCGGCGUCGAUGAGGAGGCGCAGCGGGGUCUGGGGGGGCCGCUGGCGGCCCCCACCCACGAGGCUGCCCCGCGCCAGCUUCUGCAGCUCGACGGGCACCACGGCGCUGGGGCAGUGCUUCUCGAUGUAGUCCUGGAAACCCUGCACUCCCAUGGAAGCGCCGUCACGGCCAGAGCGCUCUCACAAAUCUCACAACAGCAGACCCGAGCUGACGCCAGAUAAGUGCUGCUCUGUUUUCGUCUGAACACUUCAAAUAAAUUUCACGUGGAGUUGUAUCCUGUUUUACAGCUGGACAGCUUACAUGUCACCAGACUGAGUUAUUUAGGGUCGCUUACCUUGUCAUAAAUAAAAAUCUACAUUUCUCUAAAUGGUUUCCAGGCUGUGAUUAGCUGGUAGCUAGGUAACAUCUUAGUAACUCUAAAGAAAUAUAUCAAUUAGGAAAGUAACUUCGCACUGAAGUAGACGAGCAGCACUCAGACAACCCCGGCCAUUUCUGUGGCUGCGAGAUGACGAUGUCCCGCAGCCCUAAUUUACCUCUUUCUUUUGCACGUGAGCUCGGACAUCAAACCCCACAGCCCCGCGCGGCUGAGUUACGGAAGGAAAAACUGCAAGAGGAAGAAUGACAGAACUAGUUUAAACGUAGCCCAUUCCAACAGGUUCCACACAGAUGAAAAAUGACUCAGAACUAAAUAAAGGUAAAGUGCUGUGCCUCAUUUUAAUGAUCAUAAAGAUUAUUUGAAAUCUGCUUGAUUUUUAUGCCGCAUCCACAUCCUCAUAAUCUAUAACUUGUCAAACAUAUCACUGUACACUUAAGAGAACCCCUAAAUGCUAAUGGGCCACAUUUCUCCUAAAGCUUGGUACAGGCAAUUCUGCGCUCAAAUUCUGUAGGAAAAUUGCAGAUGAUUAGAGCAAAUGCCUACAUCCACAGGCUAGAAGCUUAUCUAAACUGGCAUCUGUUGCAUAUUCCAGUAAUUACAAACGUACUUGAAACCAGACAUUAUUGAACUCUGAAGUAACACUUCUUUUUAUCUAGUGAAGGAAAUAGUAAAUAAUAGUGUGGACCUCAUAAAGAUCUAAGUUUCUUAGAAUAGUAUACCUAAGAACUUCAUACUUAAGUAUCAAGAUAAUUUUUUAUUACCUGUAUAUAACAAGGUUCUAUAGAGUAGGAUCCUGUCUCCAGUGAGAUCAAUGGGAAUUUUACUGGUUACUGCAGGGGUACUGGAUUUUACUCAGGAUCUCUGAGAGUGUGGGUUUUGAAUUGACAAAUGCCUAUGUAACGUGAUUCUUUGGAGAAAUUUAAUUAAAGAGAAAUGUGUAAAUCACUUGGCAUUGAGUGGUCCAAGUUUGUUAACAUACAGCACUGAGAAUGAAGCCCAAAUUAGAAGCAAAUAAUGCUAACUCAACUGUGAGCAUUUCAAUAAAACUUACUUUAUGAAGAAGGUUGUGUAGACACUCUGCAUUUUUGUUUUUAACAAAUGUUUUCUGUUUUCUGCUUUCAUUUUUAUGAUCCAAACAAAUUAGGAGGAUUUAUCUGAAAUGUCACAAGCCGAAGCAAACCCCAUUGACUUGGCUUUAUAUUUGCUCUCAGCUAAACCAGGGUCAACAAUUCUUUACUGUAACUUAAUCCUGAAUAAGUGUUUUUGCUAGCUGCUGAAUUGCGUGGGAGGAGGAGCCCAGCAACAGUAGAACUCUUUCACUUGCACUUGUGUUUACAGUACCAGUUCAUAUACUUAGUGGGUUUUAUUUUUAGGAAACAGAAAUAUCUAAUAUCCAUGAGGCUAAGGUUAUCUUGAUUGGAGAUUCUUCUUGUUACAAAAAAUUUAUGUGAUUCCUCUAACAGGGGCGGAACAUCUCUGGCUUCUCAAACAAGCCAGCAGACUUUGGGGGGGCGAUAGUUUUAAGAAAUAUGUUUUGAACUACACUGACUUAAAAACAUGCACAAUUAACAUAGCUUUCUGGUUAUGGCAUUCAAGUUACCGGAUCAGGAUGAUACAUGAAAAAAGCAUGCAGAUAAGGCAUCACUUGCCUGAACAUGUCAUCAGAAACUGGCUUCCCAAAGGUAUGUCUGGAGAAUGAAAACACAGAUGCGUGAUAUUUUUCCAUUUCAGAGCAAUGGCUAUAAUAUCACUGUGAUGCAGACUGCCUUUACGACUUCUUAAUCCCAGUACCAACAGAGGGAGAGUAAUUAAAUUCCCAGAAGCAUCAUGGUGGAGAACUCUCAGUUUAGCGCCAAAUUUCUUGAAAAUAUAUUUGGUGCAGAACUGGGCCCAGCUGACAGCAUUGGGGAAAAGAUUUGCUUUGACGUGGGACACUACACUGUGACAGCCUCUGUUCUUGGGGUAGAAUCAAUAAUCUAACAUAUACCAGACCAUUUCUCUCUCUUGUAGUCUCCUCUGAACUGAAAAUAGAAUUGUUCAUCUUUUUUCACAGUGCGUAGAAAAGUUUGAAGUCAAAAAUAAAUCUCAGAUCCCUCUCAGUAGAGGGACAAUUGCUGUCUUUUCUCUUUAUUGUUAAGAAAAAAGCACGUUGGUCGCACUUCCCUCUUCAAAGCAGCAGGUCAUCACAGAAAGGUUUUUGGUAUUUGAGGAGCAGUUUCCCCAGUGAUCAGUACUUGGAGCAGUGAGAACUGCAGCAGUGUCAGAGAAGCUGGACAUCUCUUCUGCUUGCAGCUCUACUGCAACAUGUCUGACUCCAGCACCAGAGGCCUGGCAUAUAAUGGAAUGAAAAAUUCAUGUAAAUGCUUUGAUGUUCAAUAUAUACAGAAUUUGAAAGGAAUAGGAGAGUUUAUCUUUAAAAGGAAAUUAAUAAAAGACAUUAUAAAGCUAUGCAAAAUAGUGGGUGGUAUAAAGGAAGGUCUGGAAAUUCUUGUUGUGUUUCUCGCCAUGUAAGGAACGCGGGCGUUCACAGGGAGAUACAUGAUGCAGAAAACCCCGAAAGAGCCCAUUCCCUGUUUGAUUUCCCAAUGCGCCCUUGCUGCCAGCCCAGCCGCGGGGGUGCUGGGACAUCCUGCCCCAACCCAGCCCCGCUGGGCUGCUCCAAUCGCAGGUACCUCCAGCAGCAUCCCUGAGGGCUCGCAGCGCUGAAAACUUGUGACUGAAAGCAGAGGGUUUGGCAAGAGAGAAAAAAAUGGUGCAGAAUGGUUCACAUCCCCAGAAAUCCUGCUGAACAAUACCUUUUUCCUUGGAAGAAGUCAUAUUUACAUGGGGAAUUUACAUGUAUCAAUGACUGUGGCAGAAUAUUUUUGAGGAAGCCCCUUGUUAAUAUUUUGGCAGCUUGAGAGUGGUUUUUUUUCCCAGUUACAAAUGUUGCUCCAUCUGCCACAAAACCAUUGGUUCCAAGAGUCUGUCCUUGCCCGUUAAAGGGGCAUCACAGAAACACCCUGUUUGCUGAUGGGAUGUCAGGAGGGGAAGGCAGUAUGAACGUGCCGCCCGCUGCAGUAGCGUGCCCUCAUGGCGAAGAGUUUGCCAUGAGAAAACAAGCCAGCUGGGGUUGGCUUCCUAUUUAUUAGUGAGUGAACUUUUGAUUUAGUUGUAUUUAAUGUCAUUUAGGUAAGAUUUCAAUAAUGCCACUAGCUUGAGUCUGAGUUCCAUCCUAGAAAUAUUGGUGUGAAGGGACCCCUGGAUCAGCUCCCCCGUUCCACUCAAAGCAGGACCAUCACUGACACUGGGUCAGGUCUGCUGCCACUUUCCCUGGCCAAGUCCCAGCUGUCCCUCUCUGAGUAACCUCUUCCAAUACUGCAGUGCCCUCCCGGUCAAGCAGUUCUUCCUCAUGUCCAGCCUGAAGCCCCCAAGCUACAACCUGUGGCCAUUGCCAUUUACUACACCAUCUGUCACUACCCAAAAGAGCUUGGCCCUGUCUUCUUUCCAAAGAAUCAUGGAAUGUCCUGAGUGGGAAGGGACCCACAAGGAUCAUCAAGUCCAACUGCUUGGACCCUCCCCUGGCACAUGCUCCUGCCAUUCCCUGGGCUCUGUCACUGUCACAGAGAAGAGAAGAGCUCAGCCUGCCCCUCCUGCUCCUGCUGAGGAACCUGCAGCCCAUGAGCUCUGCCCUCAGUCUGCUCUGCUCCAGCUGAACAAACCCAGGGACUGUAGCUGCUCCUCACACGGCUUCCCCUCCAAACCUUCACCAACUUCAUGGCCUCCUCUGGACACUCUGCAGUAGCUUUAUCUCCUUUUCUCCCGUGUCCCCAGCCCUGCACACAGUGAAUGCUCCAGGUGAGGCCCGAGCAGAGCGGGACAAUCCCCUCCCUGCCCGGCUGGCCGUGCUGUGCUGGAUGCACCGGGACACGGGUCCCUCUUGGCUCCAGGGACACUGGUGGCUCAUGUUCAACUUGUCAACCAGAACCCCCAGAUCCCUCUCUGCAGAGCUGCUCUCCAGCAUCUCAUCCCCAGUCUGUAUGCGCUGCUAGGGGCCCUCCAACUGCAGUUCAGGCGGUUGCAGCCCGCCAUUAGAUCCCCCUCCGCCUCCUCUGCACCAGACUGAAAACCACGGCCUCCUUAAUCACUUGAAGCGUGUGCUCUGUGAACCUGACCAUCCCCAUCGCCCUCUGCUACCUUCCUGUCCCAUUUCUGAAUGUCCUCUUGACCUGAAGGCCCCAGUGUGCCCCAAGGCUCAUCAGGUGGCACGUUAUAUCUCUUGAGGAGACAGGGAUAAUGAAUUUCCUAAAUCUGCUAGCCACCCUCCUUCAAAAGCAGGCCUCACUUACCAUGAGCACACCCUUGGCUUACAUUCGAUCUGACACCCACUGUAAGCUCCACGUCCCAUCCAGGACAGCUGCUCCUCAGCCAGACCGUCCCCAGCCUGUCCUGGCACAUGGUGAUAUUCUGACUGUGGGACUUUGGACAUCUUGUUAAGCGUGGUGGGCUUUCUGCUGGCCAGAUCCCAAGUUCCUGCAGGUCCCUCCUGAAAAGUUAAUAUUUGGCAUAUCAAUGACUCAAGCCUAAUUUAGUGUCAUUUUCCAGUUUGUUGUGUCUGCAUUCUGUACCAUCAUCCAGGUCCUCAGUGAAGAUGCUACACCGUGUCGCCCUGGGGUAGACCCUGGAGCACUCUGCUUGCCUCCAGCCACCAAACGGGCACUGAGACGUUGACUGUCUGUCCAUCUGGAGUCUCUCCAAAUGAGCUUUCUGACCGUGACACAAGGACUGAAGGAGGAGCUGGUUUUCUGUUUGGAGCAGGAGGGAGAGUCCUCUGUGCCAGGCGAGCCAAGGGCCCCUGUGACACCCGCGUCCCACCCCUGCGUCAGCCCAGGGCCCCAUCUGAACCUCGGCUGCGUCUCCCAACCGCGGCGUUAUUGGCUCACCUGGGACAGAGAAAAAGCUACCAGAACCGACACGUUUCCAUGUCCACCGAAGGGUACAAUGACAAAAAAAUCUACUCCUGCAAGAAUGUCCCAGGCAACCUUCUCAACAGAGGGAGGACGUGCUGCAGAAGGGGAUGUUCAGAGGCUGUUUCAUCAGCCCGCGAGGACACAGGGUGAGGAUAUCUGCAUCCAGUCGAGCUGUGCUGAAACCACCUUUGAUGCCUUUCCCCUUUCCUCCCGUGCUGAAAAUUUGUAUUAGAUUCAAGACUGCUUGAAACAUCUUUGGCCAGGAGGUGCCAGUCCAGCUGGUGAACGUUCUGCCCCUGGGACAGGAACUUGGACCACACAGCUCAUCACCCACAAAGUACUUGACAGACAACACCUAAUAUGUUGGUGGACCAACUUCAACAUUUUUCACUUCAAAAGAGCUUUAAUUCUGACUAUAAUACGAAUACAGACAGAUUUCUCAGCCUGCUUCAGUCUGCUAACCACAGAUACGUAUGUAGGUUGUUUGAUCCAAGUAAAAAAUUGCCACUA